rnacentral:siRNA from 1 species
UUAAAGCCAAAUCAGUAUCAC